AUACCGAGACUUCCUGCACCAAGU
rnacentral:siRNA from 1 species